rnacentral:rRNA from 1 species
ACACCUUGCCUGCGUGCUUCACAUUCCAAGUCGAACGCUGAAGCCUGGUGCUUCCGCACCGGGUGGAUGAGUGGCGAACGGGUGAGUAACACGUGAGUAACCUCGCCCCUCGACUCUCGGGAUAAGCCCGGGAAACUGGGUCUAAUACCGGAUACGACUGCCGGACGCAUGUCUGGUGGUGGAAAGUUUUUUCGGUUGGGGAUGGGCUCGCGGCCUAUCAGUUUGUUGGUGAGGUAAUGGCUCACCAAGACGACGACGGGUAGCCGGCCUGAGAGGGCGACCGGCCACACUGGGACUGAGACACGGCCCAGACUCCUACGGGAGGCAGCAGUGGGGAAUAUUGCACAAUGGGGGAAACCCUGAUGCAGCGACGCAGCGUGCGGGAUGACGGCCUUCGGGUUGUAAACCGCUUUCAGCAGGGAAGAAGCGCAAGUGACGGUACCUGCAGAAGAAGUACCGGCUAACUACGUGCCAGCAGCCGCGGUAAUACGUAGGGUACGAGCGUUGUCCGGAAUUAUUGGGCGUAAAGAGCUCGUAGGUGGUUGGUCACGUCUGCUGUGGAAACGCAACGCUUAACGUUGCGCGUGCAGUGGGUACGGGCUGACUAGAGUGCAGUAGGGGAGUCUGGAAUUCCUGGUGUAGCGGUGAAAUGCGCAGAUAUCAGGAGGAACACCGGUGGCGAAGGCGGGACUCUGGGCUGUAACUGACACUGAGGAGCGAAAGCAUGGGGAGCGAACAGGAUUAGAUACCCUGGUAGUCCAUGCCGUAAACGUUGGGCACUAGGUGUGGGGGGCAUUCCACGUUCUCCGCGCCGUAGCUAACGCAUUAAGUGCCCCGCCUGGGGAGUACGGUCGCAAGGCUAAAACUCAAAGGAAUUGACGGGGGCCCGCACAAGCGGCGGAGCAUGCGGAUUAAUUCGAUGCAACGCGAAGAACCUUACCAAGGCUUGACAUACACCGGGACCGUCCUGGAAACAGGUCUCUUCUUUGAGCUGUGUACAGUGUGCAUGGUGUCGUCAGCUCGUGUCGUGAGAUGUGGGUAGUCCCGCACGAGCGCACCCUCGUUCUAUUGUGCCAGCAUGUGAUGUGGACUCAUAGAGACUGCGGGUCCACCUCGAGAAGGUGGGAUGACGUCAAUCCAUCACAUUGCU